rnacentral:snoRNA from 7 species
CCAGGGAACAGCCUCACGUGAUGAUCCUUCUCUCCCUGAUGGCUCCGAUGGUGAUGGACAUCAACCCAAAGCCUCUGAGAAGUUGACUGAGGAGGCUGUUUCCUG